GUCGUAACAAGGUUUCCGUAGGUGAACCUGCGGAAGGAUCAUUACCACACCGAUCCAAGAUCUUACAAUCGUGAACUAGGCUGCUAUAAGUUUCAUGUUGUCAUGCAACCUGUUUGUAAAGUAUGAAUAUUGUUGUACUUGAACGCAGGUGAAUAGACAUCUUUGGUCUUGUAGUAUGCGAGUUAUUUACAAAUGGUCAUAAAACUUUAUUGUUUUAUUACCAGGUGCCUCAGAAGCUCCGGCUAAUGUGGAACCGAACACUAUACCCUUUUAAAAUGAACUUUAAACUUAAGUAAAAGUUAUAUCUAAUAUGACUUAUACGACUAAUGUCUACAACUUUCAGCAAUGGAUGUCUAGGCUCCCACAACGAUGAUGAACGCAGCGAAAUGCGAUACGUAAUGCGAAUUGCAAAACUUCGUGAAUCAUUAAAAUUUUGAACGCACAUUGCGCCUUCAGGAAAUGCCUGAAGGCAUACUUAUCUGAGUGUCUAUAUACCCCACUCAUCCCAUCUUGUAUGGUGAUGGAAUAUGGCUUUGAUUACAAUUCAUUAUGAAAAGUUGUCUUUGCUUGAAUGUAUAUGGCGCUUCAAACACUAUUUGGUGUAUGAAACAUUGCCUGCUCUGGUGAAAUGUACUUCAUGUAUGUUUAUAUUAGAGAUUGUGUGACAAUGAAUCAUAUACAUAAGAAUAGUGAUUGAAAGUCAAACUAAGAUCUUAAUUGAUGUUAGAGAUAAAGUACAUGACUAAUUAUUGUUAGAUAUGUAUGGCAUCUAAUCCAAUUGGAUCUCAGAUUAAGUAAGAUUACCCCCUGAAUUUAAGCAUAUAAUUAAGGGGAGGAAAAGAAACUAACAAGAAUUCCUCUAGUAAGGGCGACUGAAGCAGGAAUAGCUCACCAUGUGAAUCUGCGUAACUAGUGAAAGCUAGCGCGCCGAAUUGUGGUCUGUAGAGGUAUCAUCGACCGUAGUGCAGGGCCAAGUCCCUUGGAAAAGGGCAGCUGAGAGGGUGAUACUCCCGUUCUUGCCUGGUGUCUAUGUGUCAUUGUAUGUGCCUUCAACGAGUCGAGUUGCUUGGGAUUGCAGCUCAAAUUGGGUGGUAAAUUCCAUCUAAAGCUAAAUAUUGGUGGGAGACCGAUAGCGCACAAGUACCGUGAGGGAAAGAUGCAAAGAACUUUGAAAAGAGAGUUAAAAAGUACCUGAAAUUGCUGAAAGGUAAGCGAUGGAAACCAGUGCUUAGUUCUGUUAUAUUUUUCCUAUUACUUGUAGUAGGGACGCUGUGGCAGGGCGUUGGUCAGGAUCAAUUCUGUUCGGGGUAACAGUGUUUGUAAGAGUUGCUUGCUUACACCUAUCCUGGAUGGGAUUGAGGUCAGUCAUUUUGUGCUCGUGAUCCUGACAAAAUGGUUUUCAUUACCCCGUCUUGAAACACGGACCAAGGAGUCCAACAUAUGUGCGAGUACAGAGGUGGCAAACCUCCGUGCGUAAUGAAAGUGACAGUGGUUGGACCCUUAUGGGGCACAAUCUGCCGGCCACAAUUCUUCGGAAGAAAGGUCUGAGUGUGAGCAUAUAUGUUGGGACCCGAAAGAUGGUGAACUAUGCGUGA
rnacentral:rRNA from 1 species